UACAGAGGGGGCAAGCGUUGUUCGGAAUUACUGGGCGUAAAGGGCGCGUAGGCGGCCUGUUAAGUCGAACGUGAAAUCCCCGGGCUCAACCCGGGAACUGCGUCCGAUACUGGCAGGCUUGAAUCCGGGAGAGGGAUGCGGAAUUCCAGGUGUAGCGGUGAAAUGCGUAGAUAUCAGGAGGAACACCGGUGGCGAAGGCGGCUCUCUGGACGGUGACUGACGCUGAGACGCGAAAGCGUGGGGAGCAAACAGG
rnacentral:rRNA from 1 species